AGCAGUCGCCGCGGUAAUACGAAGGGGGCUAGCGUUGCUCGGAUUUACUGGGCGUAAAGGGCGCGUAGGCGGACAGUUAAGUUGGGGGUGAAAGCCCGGGGCUCAACCUCGGAAUUGCCUUCAAUACUGGUUGUCUUGAGCGUGAGAGAGGUGUGUGGAACUCCGAGUGUAGAGGUGAAAUUCGUAGAUAUUCGGAAGAACACCAGUGGCGAAGGCGACACACUGGCUCACUACUGACGCUGAGGCGCGAAAGCGUGGGGAGCAAACAGGAUUAGAUACCCGGUAGUCCCUGUCUCUUAUACC
rnacentral:rRNA from 1 species